rnacentral:rRNA from 1 species
AGAGUUUGAUCAUGGCUCAGAUUGAACGCUGGCGGCAGGCCUAACACAUGCAAGUCGAACGGUAACAGCAGAGCUUGCUCUGGCUGACGAGUGGCGGACGGGGGAGUAACGCGUAGGAAUCUACCCAGUAGUGGGGGGACAACUUGGGGAAACGCAAGCUAAUACCGCAUACGCCCUACGGGGGAAAGCGGGGGACCUUCGGGCCUCGUGCUAUUGGAUGAGCCUGCGUUAGAUUAGCUAGUUGGUGGGGUAAAGGCCUACCAAGGCGACGAUCUUUAGCUGGUCUGAGAGGAUGAUCAGCCACACUGGAACUGAGACACGGUCCAGACUCCUACGGGAGGCAGCAGUGAGGAAUAUUGCGCAAUGGGGGCAACCCUGACGCAGCGACGCCGCGUGGGUGAGGAAGGCUUUCGGGUCGUAAAGCUCUGUCAGAAGGGAAGAAAUGCUUAUAGGUUAAUACCUUGUAAGUUUGACGGUACCUUCAAAGGAAGCACCGGCUAACUCCGUGCCAGCAGCCGCGGUAAUACGGAGGGUGCAAGCGUUGUUCGGAAUCACUGGGCGUAAAGGGCGCGUAGGCGGCCAAGCAAGUCAGAUGUGAAAGCCCACGGCUCAACCGUGGAAGUGCAUUUGAAACUGCUUGGCUUGAGUAUCAGAGGGGAAAGUGGAAUUCCCGGUGUAGAGGUGAAAUUCGUAGAUAUCGGGAGGAAUACCGGUGGCGAAGGCGACUUUCUGGCUGAAUACUGACGCUGAGGCGCGAAAGCGUGGGGAGCAAACAGGAUUAGAUACCCUGGUAGUCCACGCCGUAAACGAUGUCAACUAGGUGCAGGGGGUGUUGAUCCCCUCUGUGUCGCAGCUAACGCAUUAAGUUGACCGCCUGGGGAGUACGGCCGCAAGGUUAAAACUCAAAUGAAUUGACGGGGGCCCGCACAAGCGGUGGAGCAUGUGGUUUAAUUCGAUGCAACGCGAAGAACCUUACCAUCCCUUGACAUCCAGAGAAUCUGUUAGAGAUAGUAGAGUGCCUGCGAGAAUUUGGUGACAGGUGCUGCAUGGCUGUCGUCAGCUCGUGUCCUGAGAUGUUGGGUUAAGUCCCGUAACGAGCGCAACCCUUAUCCUUAGUUGCUAGCAGGUAAUGCUGAGAACUCUAGGGAGACUGCCGGUGAUAAACCGGAGGAAGGUGGGGACGACGUCAAGUCAUCAUGGCCCUUAUGUGUAGGGCUACACACGUGCUACAAUGGUCGGUACAAAGGGUUGCCAACCCGUGAGGGGGAGCUAAUCUCAUAAAGCCGAUCGUAGUCCGGAUUGAAGUCUGCAACUCGACUUCAUGAAGUUGGAAUCGCUAGUAAUCGCGGAUCAGAAUGUCGCGGUGAAUACGUUCUCGGGCCUUGUACACACCGCCCGUCACACCAUGGGAGUGGGUUGCAAAAGAAGUGGGUAGACUAACCUUCGGGAGGUCGCUCACCACUUUGUUAUUCAUGACUGGGGUGAAGUCGUAACAAGGUAACCA